rnacentral:rRNA from 1 species
GACGAACGCUGGCGGCGUGCUUAACACAUGCAAGUCGAGCGGAGCGGCGAACGGGUGAGUAACGCGUGAGUAACUGCCCCCCUCUCUGGGAUAACAGUUGGAAACGGCUGCUAAUACCGGAUAGUGGGGGAUGACUCGCGUCCGAUCAGCUUGUUGGUGGGGUAGUGGCCUACCAAGGCGACGACGGGUAGCCGGCCAGAGAGGGCGACCGGCCACAUUGGGCGUGGAUACGGGCCAAGCGCCUACGGGAGGCAGCAGUGGGGACUAGUGCACAAUGGGGGAAACCCUGAUGUAGCAACGCCGCGUGCGGGAUGACGGCAUUCGAGUUGUAAACCGCUUUCAGCCAUAACGCGGUAGUGGCAGAGGAAGCACCGGCUAACUACGUGCCAGCAGCCGCGGUAAUUC